rnacentral:misc_RNA from 1 species
GGAACGAAUCCGCGUAACUAAAUUUGUAUUCUGAUUUUCACUGUUGUAAGAGACAAAGAAGAUGCCGUUUCGGAUUGACGUUAUUUUCAAGGCUCGCGCGCGUUAACCGAGAGUGUGUGUAUCAUUGGCUGUCUGUUCUUUGUUGGUUCUAACGAACCUCUUCCUCAUUACGUGUACGUGUAUAGAAGCCACUUAAAUAUAACUUUCUGUCACAAAGAAACCCUACGGCAACAAGAGAGAAAAAUAUGUUCAAUAAUCGUGCGCUGUCUUUUGUACGUGUGCGGGACGUGUCUGGAGAAGUGCCUCAGCUGUUCGACUCUAUCUCUUGUUGAUUUUUUACAUGAUAUAAAUAAGCUGAUAAAUCGGUACGACGAAUUUAAAAGAUAGUUAGUUUAAGAAAGAAUACUUUUCAAUUUAUGAAGACGAUCGUUGUGGUCGCUAAAUUACUUACAAAAUUGUUUUCGCAGAAAAGAAUAAUUAAAGAAUAAUAAAAGAAAGUAUCAUUUGAAGAUAAUUUAAAGCGAUGUAGAAUGUUUCAUUUGAUACUAAUUCACUAGACCACGGAACCGAAUACUCGGACCAUAGAAAUAUAUAAAAAUAAAAUUUAGACGACGAAGCAACAUAAUCUUAUUAUGUUAUUAACGACUAUUUUAAACAAAUUCAGAGCUACUAAGUUAGUUCAAGAGUUAUAAAAUCUCAUGGAAUUAGUGAAAAGAAACCGAGCGAUGGAUGGAUAUCCAAUAGGACAAUAGGAUUAUUGUAGCCUUUCAGGAUUAAAUCCGC